rnacentral:tRNA from 1 species
AUUAUUUUGGCAGAUUAGUGCAUUAAAUUUAGAAUUUAGUUAUGUAAUUUAUUAUUACAAAUAAUAC